rnacentral:rRNA from 1 species
UACGUAGGCAGCGAGCGUUGUUCGGAGUUACUGGGCGUAAAGGGUGUGUAGGCGGUUGGUUAAGUUUGGUGUGAAAUCUCCCGGCUCAACUGGGAGGGUGCGCCGAAUACUGAAUGACUUGGAGUGCGGGAGAGGAGAGUGGAAUUCCUGGUGUAGCGGUGAAAUGCGUAGAUAUCAGGAGGAACACCGGUGGUGUAGACGGCUCUCUGGACCGUAACUGACGCUGAGACACGAAAGCGUGGGUAGCAAACAGG